AUUGAACGCUGGCGGCAGGCCUAACACAUGCAAGUCGAGCGGAUGAAGGGAGCUUGCUCCUGGAUUCAGCGGCGGACGGGUGAGUAAUGCCUAGGAAUCUGCCUGGUAGUGGGGGAUAACGUCCGGAAACGGGCGCUAAUACCGCAUACGUCCUGAGGGAGAAAGUGGGGGAUCUUCGGACCUCACGCUAUCAGAUGAGCCUAGGUCGGAUUCGCUAGUUGGUGGGGUAAAGGCCUACCAAGGCGACGAUCCGUAACUGGUCUGAGAGGAUGAUCAGUCACACUGGAACUGAGACACGGUCCAGACUCCUACGGGAGGCAGCAGUGGGGAAUAUUGGACAAUGGGCGAAAGCCUGAUCCAGCCAUGCCGCGUGUGUGAAGAAGGUCUUCGGAUUGUAAAGCACUUUAAGUUGGGAGGAAGGGCAGUAAGUUAAUACCUUGCUGUUUUGACGUUACCAACAGAAUAAGCACCGGCUAACUUCGUG
rnacentral:rRNA from 1 species